UACGUAGGGUGCAAGCGUUAAUCGGAAUUACUGGGCGUAAAGCGUGCGCAGGCGGCUUUGCAAGACAGAUGUGAAAUCCCCGGGCUCAACCUGGGAACUGCAUUUGUGACUGCAUGGCUAGAGUGCGGCAGAGGGGGAUGGAAUUCCGCGUGUAGCAGUGAAAUGCGUAGAUAUGCGGGAGGAACACCGAUGGCGAAGGCAAUCCCCUGGGGCCUGCACUGACGCUCAUGCACGAAAGCGUGGGGAGCAAACAGG
rnacentral:rRNA from 1 species